rnacentral:lncRNA from 1 species
AUCCUGUUCUGCCGACUAUAUGAGCUAGCUUGAGAGAAAAGUAAAGUUUGCCACUUGAUCAGAAUCCUGUCUUGUGGUCAUUCUUUUUGCGUCUUUUGUCCCCAUUCCCUAUCCCUGACUCUCUUGCCCCAGGUUGAUGUCCUGCAGGUCAGGACAACUGGUGCCCAAAGUGAGGCUGGAUAGAGUUGGGGAUCUGGGAACUUCAGUGCUCAUUAGAGGGACGGCCUGUCCAUGCAGUGAGGCGUCCAAGACAAGGUCUAUUGUGAGCCUCGGUUGGAGGAAGACCCAGCAGCCUGCCCAGCACUUGGGACUUUCGGUUCAUGAGCACCAACUACAUGGAAAAGGAUGCUGACAUCGCGGUGAGGGGAUUUCAGGAUGUUUCUGCCUAUGACUCCACUGAUUUCUCAUUUUUAUCAAAGCUCAAACUAAAAUUAAUACUAAGUUCAGUGACAG